rnacentral:rRNA from 2 species
GAUGAACGCUAGCGGCAGGCUUAACACAUGCAAGUCGAGGGGUAUUGGUUUUCGGACCAAGAGACCGGCGCACGGGUGCGUAACGCGUAUGCAAUCUACCUUUUGCAGAGGGAUAGCCCAGAGAAAUUUGGAUUAAUACCUCAUAGUAUAGUACCUUGGCAUCAAGGAGCUAUUAAAGUCACAACGGCAAAAGAUGAGCAUGCGUCCCAUUAGCUAGUUGGUAAGGUAACGGCUUACCAAGGCGACGAUGGGUAGGGGUCCUGAGAGGGAGAUCCCCCACACUGGUACUGAGACACGGACCAGACUCCUACGGGAGGCAGCAGUGAGGAAUAUUGGACAAUGGGCGCAAGCCUGAUCCAGCCAUGCCGCGUGCAGGAUGACGGUCCUAUGGAUUGUAAACUGCUUUUAUACAGGAAGAAACACUGGUUCGUGAACCAGCUUGACGGUACUGUAAGAAUAAGGAUCGGCUAACUCCGUG